rnacentral:rRNA from 1 species
UACAUAGGGAGCAAGCGUUAUCCGGAUUUAUUGGGUGUAAAGGGUGCGUAGACGGGAAAUUAAGUUAGUUGUGAAAUCCCUCGGCUUAACUGAGGAACUGCAACUAAAACUGAUUUUCUUGAGUACUGGAGAGGAAAGUGGAAUUCCUAGUGUAGCGGUAAAAUGCGUAAAUAUAUGUAAGAACACCGGUGGCGAAGGCGGCUUGCUGGGCCUGUACUGACAUUGAGGCACGAAAGCGUGGGGAGCAAACAGG